GGUUGCUGCACCCCGCAUGACGAGCGGCGGACCCUUGAGAUAAUGCAUAGGAAUCUGCCCAGUUAGUGGGGGAUAGCCCGGGGAAACCCGGAUUAAUACCGCAUACGCCCUACGGGGGAAAGCAGGGGAUCUUCGGACCUUGCGCUAUUGGAUGAGCCUAUGUCGGAUUAGCUUGUUGGUGGGGUAAUGGCUCACCAAGGCGACGAUCCGUANCUGGUCUGAGAGGAUGAUCAGCCACAUCGGGACUGANACACGGNCCGAACUCCUACGGGAGGCAGCAGUGGGGAAUAUUGGACAAUGGGGGCAACCCUGAUCCAGCCAUGCCGCGUGUGUGAAGAAGGCUUUCGGGUUGUAAAGCACUUUCAGUGAGGAGGAAAACCUUAUGGCUAAUAC
rnacentral:rRNA from 1 species